UACGUAGGGGGCAAGCGUUGUCCGGAUUAUUGGGCGUAAAGAGCGUGUAGGCGGCCAUACAGGUCAGCUGUGAAAACUCGAGGCUCAACCUCGAGACGUCGGUUGAAACCGUAUGGCUAGAGUCCGGAAGAGGAGAGUGGAAUUCCCGGUGUAGCGGUGAAAUGCGCAGAGUAUCGGGAAGAACACCCGUGGCGAAGGCGGCUCUCUGGGACGGUACUGACGCGUGAGACGCGAAAGCGUGGGAGCGAACGAGG
rnacentral:rRNA from 1 species